CGUGAUCCACCCGUCUCGGCCUCCCAAAGUGCUGGGAUUACAGGCUUGAGCCACCGCGCCCGGCCUACACAAAAUUCUUAAACUUGUAACUUGAGGAUAUUUUUUUUCCCACCCAGUAUACUACUACUGGAAAGGGUGAGGGUGAGAGGGUGGUGUGGAAAUAUGAUUUGGAUCCAUAAUUGAGGAGCAAAUUUCCCCACCUCUAGGAGGUGAACUACUCAUGUCUGGAGAAGAGGGAAGAGUAGGAAUGACACAAGUCACCACCUGCCCUUUCCUCACAACCAACCAAAGCAAUGACUUCCAUCCCCUGAUGCAACACUAAGAAGCUGCAUGGGACCUGAGAAAGGCUCUCCCAUUUUAUUCCUGGAAAGAACUGAAUGGCCUCAUUCUCAUUCAGAGUUCUAUCUGAUUUAUAAGAGAUGGUGUCUCACUCUGUCACCAGGCUGGAAUGCAGUG